rnacentral:rRNA from 1 species
GAUGAACGCUGGCGGCGUGCCUAAUACAUGCAAGUAGAACGCUGAAGGAAGGAGCUUGCUCUUUCCGGAUGAGUUGCGAACGGGUGAGUAACGCGUAGGUAACCUGCCUGGUAGCGGGGGAUAACUAUUGGAAACGAUAGCUAAUACCGCAUAACAGUAGAUGUUGCAUGAUAUCUACUUAAAAGGUGCAAUUGCACCACUACCAGAUGGACCUGCGUUGUAUUAGCUAGUUGGUGAGGUAACGGCUCACCAAGGCGACGAUACAUAGCCGACCUGAGAGGGUGAUCGGCCACACUGGGACUGAGACACGGCCCAGACUCCUACGGGAGGCAGCAGUAGGGAAUCUUCGGCAAUGGACGGAAGUCUGACCGAGCAACGCCGCGUGGGUGAAGAAGGUUUUCGGAUCGUAAAGCUCUGUUGUAAGAGAAGAACGAGUGUGAGAGUGGAAAGUUCACACUGUGACGGUAUCUUACCAGAAAGGGACGGCUAACUACGUG